GAUGAACGCUGGCGGCGUGCCUAAUACAUGCAAGUCGAGCGAACGGACGAGAAGCUUGCUUCUCUGAUGUUAGCGGCGGACGGGUGAGUAACACGUGGAUAACCUACCUAUAAGACUGGGAUAACUUCGGGAAACCGGAGCUAAUACCGGAUAAUAUUUUGAACCGCAUGGUUCAAAAGUGAAAGACGGUCUUGCUGUCACUUAUAGAUGGAUCCGCGCUGCAUUAGCUAGUUGGUAAGGUAACGGCUUACCAAGGCAACGAUGCAUAGCCGACCUGAGAGGGUGAUCGGCCACACUGGAACUGAGACACGGUCCAGACUCCUACGGGAGGCAGCAGUAGGGAAUCUUCCGCAAUGGGCGAAAGCCUGACGGAGCAACGCCGCGUGAGUGAUGAAGGUCUUCGGAUCGUAAAACUCUGUUAUUAGGGAAGAACAUAUGUGUAAGUAACUGUGCACAUCUUGACGGUACCUAAUCAGAAAGCCACGGCUAACUACGUGCCAGCAGCCGCGGUAAUACGUAGGUGGCAAGCGUUAUCCGGAAUUAUUGGGCGUAAAGCGCGCGUAGGCGGUUUUUUAAGUCUGAUGUGAAAGCCCACGGCUCAACCGUGGAGGGUCAUUGGAAACUGGAAAACUUGAGUGCAGAAGAGGAAAGUGGAAUUCCAUGUGUAGCGGUGAAAUGCGCAGAGAUAUGGAGGAACACCAGUGGCGAAGGCGACUUUCUGGUCUGUAACUGACGCUGAUGUGCGAAAGCGUGGGGAUCAAACAGGAUUAGAUACCCUGGUAGUCCACGCCGUAAACGAUGAGUGCUAGGUGUUAGGGGGUUCCGCCCCUUAGUGCUGCAGCUAACGCAUUAAGCACUCCGCCUGGGGAGUACGACCGCAAGGUUGAAACUCAAAGGAAUUGACGGGGACCCGCACAAGCGGUGGAGCAUGUGGUUUAAUUCGAAGCAACGCGAAGAACCUUACCAAAUCUUGACAUCCUUUGACAACUCUAGAGAUAGAGCUUUCCCCUUCGGGGGACAAAGUGACAGGUGGUGCAUGGUUGUCGUCAGCUCGUGUCGUGAGAUGUUGGGUUAAGUCCCGCAACGAGCGCAACCCUUAAGCUUAGUUGCCAUCAUUAAGUUGGGCACUCUAAGUUGACUGCCGGUGACAAACCGGAGGAAGGUGGGGAUGACGUCAAAUCAUCAUGCCCCUUAUGAUUUGGGCUACACACGUGCUACAAUGGACAAUACAAAGGGCAGCGAAACCGUGAGGUCAAGCAAAUCCCAUAAAUUUGUUCUCAGUUCGGAUUGUAGUCUGCAACUCGACUACAUGAAGCUGGAAUCGCUAGUAAUCGUAGAUCAGCAUGCUACGGUGAAUACGUUCCCGGGUCU
rnacentral:rRNA from 1 species